rnacentral:rRNA from 1 species
UACGUAGGGCGCAAGCGUUAUCCGGAAUUAUUGGGCGUAAAGAGCUCGUAGGCGGUUUGUCGCGUCUGCCGUGAAAGUCCGGGGCUCAACUCCGGAUCUGCGGUGGGUACGGGCAGACUAGAGUGAUGUAGGGGAGACUGGAAUUCCUGGUGUAGCGGUGAAAUGCGCAGAUAUCAGGAGGAACACCGGUGGCGAAGGCGGUUCUCUGGGCAUUACCUGACGCUGAGGAGCGAAAGUGUGGGAAGCGAACAGG